GUUUGAUCCUGGCUCAGGAUUAACGCUGGCGGCGUGCCUAAUACAUGCAAGUCGAACGGAAACCUUCGGGUUUUAGUGGCGAACGGGUGAGUAACACGUAAGCAACCUACCCUAAAGACGAGGAUAACCAUUGGAAACAGUGGCUAAGACUGGAUAGGAAGAAAUAAGGCAUCUUUUUUCUUUUAAAAGACCUAGUGAUAGGUAUACUUUAGGAGGGGCUUGCGCCAUAUUAGUUAGUUGGUAGGGUAAUGGCCUACCAAGACGAUGAUGUGUAGCUGGACUGAGAGGUUGAACAGCCACAUUGGGACUGAGACACGGCCCAAACUCCUACGGGAGGCAGCAGUAGGGAAUUUUCGGCAAUGGAGGAAACUCUGACCGAGCAACGCCGCGUGAACGACGAAGUACUUUGGUAUGUAAAGUUCUUUUAUCAAGGAAGAAAAGCAAGUGGUGAACCAUUUGUUUGCCGGUACUUGAUGAAUAAGCCCCGGCUAAUUAUGUGCCAGCAGCCGCGGUAAGACAUAAGGGGCAAGUGUUAUCCGGAAUUAUUGGGCGUAAAGGGUGCGUAGGCGGUCUAGUAAGUCAGUGGUGUAAUGGCAACGCUCAACGUUGUCCGGCUAUUGAAACUGCUAAACUUGAGUUAGAUAGAGGCGAGUGGAAUUCCAUGUGUAGCGGUAAAAUGCGUAAAUAUAUGGAGGAACACCAGAGGCGUAGGCGGCUCGCUGGGUCUUAACUGACGCUGAGGCACGAAAGCGUGGGGAGCAAACAGGAUUAGAUACCCUGGUAGUCCACGCCGUAAACGAUGAGUACUAAGUGUCGGGUUAAACCGGUACUGAAGUUAACACAUUAAGUACUCCGCCUGAGUAGUACGUACGCAAGUAUGAAACUUAAAGGAAUUGACGGGACUCCGCACAAGCGGUGGAUCAUGUUGUUUAAUUCGAAGAUACCCGAAAAACCUUACCAGGUCUUGACAUGUUUUUGCGAAACGGUAGUAAUAUCGUGGAGGUUAUCAGAAACACAGGUGGUGCAUGGUUGUCGUCAGCUCGUGUCGUGAGAUGUUAGGUUAAGUCCUAAAACGAGCGAAACCCUUAUCGUUAGUUGCCAGCACGUUAUGGUGGGGACUUUAACGAGACUGCCAGUGAUAAAUUGGAGGAAGGUGAGGAUCACGUCAAAUCAGCAUGCCCCUUAUGACCUGGGCUACAAACGUGAUACAAUGGCUGUUACAAAGGGUAGCUGAAACGCAAGUUCUUGGCCAAUCCCCAAAAACAGUCUCAGUCCGGAUUGAAGUCUGCAACUCGACUUCAUGAAGUUGGAAUCGCUAGUAAUCGCGAAUCAGCAUGUCGCGGUGAAUACGUUCUCGGGGUUUGUACACACCGCCCGUCAAACCACGAAAGUUGGCAAUACCCCAAAACGGUAGCCUAACUCGUUUAUCGAGAGGGCGCUGUCUAAGGUAGGGUCGAUGAUUGGGGUUAAGUCGUAACAAGGUAUCCCUACCGGAAGGUGGGGAUGGAUCACCUCCUUUCUAAGGAAACCAAUAAAAUCAAUCAUCUUCAGUUUUGAAAGACUUAGGAUAACUAAGUUUUUCUCCGUGACUUCACGAAGGGCCUAUAGCUCAGUUGGUUAGAGCACACGCCUGAUAAGCGUGAGGUCGGUGGUUCAAGUCCAUUUAGGCCCACCAGAGUUAUAGGUGUCGUAAGAACACAAAUUCU
rnacentral:rRNA from 1 species